GACGAACGCUGGCGGCGUGCUUAACACAUGCAAGUCGAACGAUGAAACCUAGCUUGCUAGGUCGAUUAGUGGCGAACGGGUGAGUAACACGUGACUAACCUGCCCCUUUCUCUGGGAUAACGCUCCGAAAGGAGUGCUAAUACCGGAUACUCACACCGAGGCACAUGCCUUGGUGUGGAAAGCUUUUCGGAAAGGGAUGGAGUCGCGGCCUAUCAGCUUGUUGGUGAGGUAACGGCUCACCAAGGCGACGACGGGUAGCCGGCCUGAGAGGGAGACCGGCCACACUGGAACUGAGACACGGCCCAGACUCCUACGGGAGGCAGCAGUGAGGAAUAUUGCACAAUGGGCGCAAGCCUGAUGCAGCGACGCCGCGUGAGGGAUGAAGGUCUUCGGAUUGUAAACCUCUUUCAGUAGGGACGAAGCGAAAGUGACGGUACCUAAAGAAGAAGCACCGGCUAACUACGUGCCAGCCGCCGCGGUAA
rnacentral:rRNA from 1 species